rnacentral:rRNA from 1 species
ACGCUGGCGGCGUGCCUAAUACAUGCAAGUAGAACGCUGAAGAGAGGAGCUUGCUCUUCUUGGAUGAGUUGCGAACGGGUGAGUAACGCGUAGGUAACCUGCCUUGUAGCGGGGGAUAACUAUUGGAAACGAUAGCUAAUACCGCAUAACAAUGGAUGACACAUGUCAUUUAUUUGAAAGGGGCAAUUGCUCCACUACAAGAUGGACCUGCGUUGUAUUAGCUAGUAGGUGAGGUAACGGCUCACCUAGGCGACGAUACAUAGCCGACCUGAGAGGGUGAUCGGCCACACUGGGACUGAGACACGGCCCAGACUCCUACGGGAGGCAGCAGUAGGGAAUCUUCGGCAAUGGGGGCAACCCUGACCGAGCAACGCCGCGUGAGUGAAGAAGGUUUUCGGAUCGUAAAGCUCUGUUGUAAGUCAAGAACGAGUGUGAGAGUGGAAAGUUCACACUGUGACGGUAGCUUACCAGAAAGGGACGGCUAACUACGUGCCAGCAGCCGCGGUAAUACGUAGGUCCCGAGCGUUGUCCGGAUUUAUUGGGCGUAAAGCGAGCGCAGGCGGUUUGAUAAGUCUGAAGUUAAAGGCUGUGGCUCAACCAUAGUUCGCUUUGGAAACUGUCAAACUUGAGUGCAGAAGGGGAGAGUGGAAUUCCAUGUGUAGCGGUGAAAUGCGUAGAUAUAUGGAGGAACACCGGUGGCGAAAGCGGCUCUCUGGUCUGUAACUGACGCUGAGGCUCGAAAGCGUGGUGAGCGAACAGGAUUAGAUACCCUGGUAGUCCACGCCGUAAACGAUGAGUGCUAGGUGUUGGAUCCUUUCCGGGAUUCAGUGCCGCAGCUAACGCAUUAAGCACUCCGCCUGGGGAGUACGACCGCAAGGUUGAAACUCAAAGGAAUUG